rnacentral:rRNA from 1 species
AACGGGCGAGUGAAGCGGCAACAGCUCAAAUUUGAAAUCUGGCCCUUUUGGGGUCCGAGUUGUAAUUUGUAGAGGGUGCUUUGGCGUCGGCCUCGGCCUAAGUGCCUUGGAACAGGACGUCACAGAGGGUGAGAACCCCGUAUGUGGCCGGUGGUCUUCGCCGUGUAAAGCCCCUUCGACGAGUCGAGUUGUUUGGGAAUGCAGCUCUAAAUGGGAGGUAAAUUUCUUCUAAAGCUAAAUACUGGCCAGAGACCGAUAGCGCACAAGUAGAGUGAUCGAAAGAUGAAAAGCACUUUGGAAAGAGAGUCAAAAAGCACGUGAAAUUGUUGAAAGGGAAGCGCUUGCAGCCAGACUUGCCUACAGUUGCUCAUCCGGGACAACGCCCGGUGCACUCUUCUGUUGGCAGGCCAGCAUCAGUCCAGGCGGUCGGAUAAAGGCCUCGGGAAUGUGGCUCUCUUCGGGGAGUGUUAUAGCCCGGGGUGCAAUGCGGCCAGCUUGGACUGAGGUCCGCGCAUCUGCUAGGAUGCUGGCGUAAUGGCUGUAAGCGGCCCGUCUUGAAACACGGACCAAGGAGUCUAACAUCUAUGCGAGUGUUUGUGUGUCAAGCCCGGGCGCGCCAUGAAAGUGAACGGAGGGGGGAGGGGCCUCCUCGGCGGGGCAAACCACCGAUCCUAUAUGUGGUGUCUAUGGGAUGUGAUUAGAGAACAUAGGUUCUUGUGGAGCUCUACACAAAGGUGAGGCUAUAACUAGCGCUCUGACUGAGGUACAAAACCAAGAAGGCAACCUCUAGGGGGGGACGAUCAGCAUCUGGAUUUUGAGGGUGGGGAUCAUCUUACCCUCCGACUUUUGGGGAGGGGGCGGCGCCGGAGGGGGGUUUUUCCUUAUACCACCCUUUUUAGUUGGUCCUAGUUCGGUCGCUGCCUUCGCACCG